rnacentral:rRNA from 1 species
UACGUAGGGUGCAAGCGUUGUCCGGAAUUAUUGGGCGUAAAGGGCUCGUAGGCGGUCUGUCGCGUCGAUCGUGAAAACUUGGGGCUUAACCCUGAGCUUGCGGUCGAUACGGGCAUGACUGGAGUUCGGCAGGGGAGACUGGAAUUCCUGGUGUAGCGGUGAAAUGCGCAGAUAUCAGGAGGAACACCGGUGGCGAAGGCGGGUCUCUGGGCCGAUACUGACGCCGAGGAGCGAAAGCGUGGGGAGCGAACAGG